GGAACCCUUCUACACUGUUGGUGGGAAUGUAAAUUCAUUCAGCUACUAUAGAAAACAGUAUGGAGUCUCCUUAAAAAACUAAAAAUAGAAUAAUCAUAUGAUCCAGCAAUCCCACUCCUGGGCAUAUAUGUGGAAAAGAAGAAAACUCUGAUUCGAAAAGGUACAUGCACCCCAAUGUUCACAAUGGCAGUAUUUGAAUAGCCAAAACAUGGAAGCAACCUAAAUGUCCAUUGGCAGAUGAAUGGAUAAAGAAGAUGUGAUAUAGUUAUACAAUGGAACACUACUCAGCCAUAAAAAGAUUGAAAUGUUGCCAGUUGCAGCAACAUGGAUGGACCUAGAGAUGAUCAUACUAAGUGAGGUUGCCUUUGUUGAAUUGUUUUCCUGCUGCCUGUUUGUCAUUUGCUCUGGGCCACAAGUUCUUGAGGACCAUACCUGGCUUGUUGCUAGCACCCAGCACAGGGCUGGGCACAUCCUGAGCUCCCGAAAAGAACUCUCCCUCACCAGAUGAACACUCUGCAAAGGCACCCCCAUAUGAAGAUUGCACCUCUGAUGCAAGUUCAAGUGGGCCACAAGGACAUGGCAGCCCUGCCCCUCUCCAUCAUGAGGGAAAAAUGAAGAUGGCCCCAUCAAACCUGGAGUGUAAACAUGAAAUCUAACCGGGCCGGUGGGAGAACAGUGGAGAAUCCUGGAUGCUGGACCCACACAGGUGUGGAGGGAGGAGGAACCUGGGCAGGAGGAGAUAAGCCAAUAUAUCUGCCUGUUGAGCCUACAGUUAAAAAUAAUUAUAAAGAACACUAGGGAUGCUUCAGAAACUAUCAGGAUUUCUACUCUUUGUCCAGGAGAUAUCACUGGAAAGUAGGUGCCAGAACCACAGAUAUCCUUGGGCAGAUGAAGGUGAAUAACCAUGGUUCCAGAUCCUGCAUGCACUGUUCAGCCUGUUUGCUUAACUGACCGUUUGACGCGCUUGACUGUGUUGAAUCCGUGUGGUGACGUGUUGAAGGUGCAUUCUCAGUUUGGCAGAACCAGUGGGAAAAACAGAAUGAGAAAUUCUUGCACCGGCUGUUUUGCAGUAGACGUCAGCUGACAUCCAUGACAGACAGCAGGUUGAAGAUGCGCGUGUAUUGGAGCCUGUGCCUUUUGAGAAUCUUGAGCAUCUUCUGUGCUUUAAGGAAAUUCAGCAGAGGACCCUCUGCCUAGACACCAGUCCCUCCAGGAUGUGGGAAUCAACAGUCAUGUUCCACCCUCAGAGGACAGAGACAUUGAGUUAACCACACAAGGAGGCAGAAGGAAGCAAGGA